GCUCUGUCUAUAAUUAUCAGUGUGCUGCUGUCCAUGUGUGUGGCUGUUCUCAUAAUAACUGCACUCAUCCAGUGGAGGAAGAGACGAGCUGUUGGACCAGUCUCCAGUACUUCACAUCAAAUUGGAUAUUCACCUACUUCAAUUUCAGAACAAGAAAAAAAUUGAAAGAUUUGUGGCCUCAAAUAAAUAUCUUGUACAGUAUUAUUUCCUGCUACUGCCCAUUCAGGUCUUGCAAAUGGGUUGUCAUUGCAAGUGUCA